rnacentral:rRNA from 1 species
UACGAAGGGGGCAAGCGUUGUUCGGAAUUAUUGGGCGUAAAGAGCGCGCAGGCGGUCGUACAAGUCGCGUGUGAAAGCCCCCCGGCUCAACUGGGGAGGGUCACGCGAUACUGUUCGACUCGAAGGCAGGAGAGGGAAGUGGAAUUCCCGGUGUAGUGGUGAAAUGCGUAGAUAUCGGGAGGAACACCAGUGGCGAAGGCGACUUCCUGGCCUGUUCUUGACGCUGAGGCGCGAAAGCUAGGGUAGCAAACGGG